rnacentral:rRNA from 1 species
GACGAACGCUGGCGGCGUGCUUAACACAUGCAAGUCGAACGGAAAGGCCCUGCGUUUGUGGGGUGCUCGAGUGGCGAACGGGUGAGUAACACGUGAGUAACCCGUCCUUGUCUUUGGGAUAACUUCAGGAAACUGGGGCUAAUACCGGAUAGGAGCUCCUGCUGCAUGGUGGGGGUUGGAAAGUUUCGGCGGUUGGGGAUGGACUCGCGGCUUAUCAGCUUGUUGGUGAGGUAGUGGCGUACCAAGGCUUUGACGGGUAGCCGGCCUGAGAGGGUGACCGGCCACAUUGGGACUGCGAGACGGCCCAGACUCCUACGGGAGGCAGCAGUCGGGAAUAUUGCACAAUGGGCGGAAGCCUGAUGCAGCAACGCCGGGUGCGGGAUGACGGCCUUCGGGUUGUAAACCGCUUUCGCCUGUGACGAAGCGUGAGUGACGGUAAUGGGUAAAGAAGCACCGGCUAACUACGUG